rnacentral:tRNA from 4 species
UGGGGCGUAGCCAAGUGGUAAGGCAGCGGAUUUUGAUUCCGCCAUUCGGAGGUUCGAGUCCUCCCGCCCCAG